AACUGAGGGAAAGUUUGGUUCCUUACGCUGUAGGCAUUGGGCAGACCUAACCUUGUGGUUUAAUAGCGCUGGACGACACUUUCUGUUGUGAGAAUCUCUUUCAGUGGGCUAAUGAAAAAUAGGACCGGUAAACCACCUCGGCACAGAGACGUUUUAACUAAGCCUCCAACGAACUCUUGAGCAAUGCUUCUCAAACUUGUGCAUGCCUGAGACUUGUCGGAGGGCUUAUUAAAAUACCCGCCGCUUAUGCCCUCGUUUCCAGAAAUUGUGUUACAGCAGAUGUAGAGAGGAGACUGCAUUUUUAAAGGUUCCCACGUUCUGCUGAUGUUGCCGGUUUGGGAACCUCUGCUCUGAUUCCUGGCAGUUCGGGAAGAAACUGGUCAGAGGAAGGGGAAAUGUCAAGACUUGGGACCAUCUCUCGCCUCCUAACAUCAAACAAGACAAGGAAAUUGACUGAAGCUGGAAAGCCUUUGACCAGUCUUAGGUGGAGGAGCCAGCAAUAAACUGGAGGUCAUUGAGGAGCGACUGCUGGUGAUUGGAGAACCAGACUCAGGUAAACGGAAGCUCCUCCUCACCCCUUCUCCUGUCCUUGGACUGUAUGUUGUUCCCACCAUGCCCAUAGCCAGAGCUAUGUCAAGGACACGGCCUUGGGAGUGUAAGAUGUUGUUGAGACCAUCUGGACCAGAUAUGUGAUGGAACUCAAUUAAGGCCUCUAUAUAAACAUUUUAAGAUGUUGGCAGGUGGGUGCAGAGAUGUACUUAUGGUCACCCAAGACAAGUCUUGUAAAUAAUUUCUCUUGCUCCUUAAAACUGUCACCUACAGUCUGGAGAGGUCCGCCUCUUUCUUCAGUCUCUCCUCGCCCUCCAUGUAUGAGGCCCAGUUUGCAAACCAACACUCUGCAAGCUAAAAAGUAAGGAUUAUGUAAAAAGCUAACUUGUAACAAAAUAAAACAGUCUUGCACCUCAAGUACAGCGUUUUUUAAAACACAAAAUGUCAUUUUAAAUUUUUAUCAGGAAAGAAAAAAUAACUACAUAAGACCAGAAUAUUUAAAGGUAUCCUAACCCAUAAAUAUGCUACACUAUAAACAAGCUACCAUAGCAUAAAAUAAAAUGAGCUAUAGAUACGCUUUAGAAUUAACUCCAGUACACAUUAUGAUGCAUAAUAGCUACUGCAAUCUUUAAAAAAAAAACUUAUAAUGUAUGUUUUACUUCUUUAUGUUAGUACAAGAAAAAAAUUCAAAAUGCCAUACAAAGUUUUUUUAAAGGCCUACAUUGAAAUUCCAAGAAAGUCAACCUGAGUUCUGACAUAAGGAUAAUGAUAAUGGAUACUUAUAUAAAACUUUUUGGUCUAUAAAACACAUAAAAC